GGAUGAACGCUGGCGGCGUGCCUAAUACCUGCAAGUCGAGCGAACGGCCGAGAAGCUUGCUUCUCUGAUGUUAGCGGCGGACGGGUGAGUAACACGUGGAUAACCUACCUAUAAGACUGGGAUAACUUCGGGAAACCGGAGCUAAUACCGGAUAAUAUUUUGAACCGCAUGGUUCAAAAGUGAAAGACGGUCUUGCUGUCACUUAUAGAUGGAUCCGCGCUGCAUUAGCUAGUUGGUAAGGUAACGGCUUACCAAGGCAACGAUGCAUAGCCGACCUGAGAGGGUGAUCGGCCACACUGGAACUGAGACACGGUCCAGACUCCUACGGGAGGCAGCAGUAGGGAAUCUUCCGCAAUGGGCGAAAGCCUGACGGAGCAACGCCGCGUGAGUGAUGAAGGUCUUCGGAUCGUAAAACUCUGUUAUUAGGGAAGAACAUAUGUGUAAGUAACUGUGCACAUCUUGACGGUACCUAAUCAGAAAGCCACGGCUAACUACGUG
rnacentral:rRNA from 1 species